rnacentral:rRNA from 1 species
AUUGAACGCUGGCGGCAGGCUUAACACAUGCAAGUCGAGCGAGCGGCGGACGGGUGAGUAAUGUCCGGGAAACUGCCUGAUGGAGGGGGAUAACUACUGGAAACGGUAGCUAAUACCGCAUACCAUCAGAUGUGCCCAGAUGGGAUUAGCUAGUAGGUGGGGUAAGGGCUCACCAAGGCGACGAUCCCUAGCUGGUCUGAGAGGAUGACCAGCCACACUGGAACUGAGACACGGUCCAGACUCCUACGGGAGGCAGCAGUGGGGAAUAUUGGACAAUGGGCGAAAGCCUGAUCCAGCCAUGCCGCGUGUGUGAAGAAGGCCUUCGGGUUGUAAAGCACUUUAAGCGGGGAGGCGUUACCCGCAGAAGAAGCACCGGCUAACUCCGUGCCAGCCGCCGCGGUAAUUC